rnacentral:rRNA from 1 species
GACGAACGCUGGCGGCGUGCUUAACACAUGCAAGUCGAACGGAAAGGCCCUGCUUUUUUGGGGUGCUCGAGUGGCGAACGGGUGAGUAACACGUGUGUAACCUGCCCUUCACUUUGGGAUAACUUCAGGAAACUGGGGCUAAUACCGGAUAGGAUCUCCUGCUGCAUGGUGGGGGUUGGAAAGUUUCGGCGGUUGGGGAUGGACUCGCGGCUUACCAGCUUGUUGGUGGGGUAGUGGCUUACCAAGGCUUUGACGGGUAGCCGGCCUGGGAGGGUGGCCGGCCACAUUGGGACUGAGAUACGGCCCAGACUCCUACGGGAGGCAGCAGGGGGGAAUAUUGCACAGUGGGCGGGAGCCUGAUGCAGCGACGCCGCGUGCGGGAUGACGGCCUUCGGGGUGUAAACCGCUGUCGCCUGUGACGAAGCGUGUGUGACGGUAAUGGGUAAAGAAGCACCGGCUAACUACGUG